CUUUCAUCAAUAUAUGUAAUUUUUUUCCGCUAUGACUGUGGUUAUUUUUCCCUCGUAUUUCUUCUGGCUUCGCAUCUUCCUCCUCCUCGUCCUCCUCCUCCUCCUCCUCCUCCUCCUCAAGAUUACCCUACCUUCAAAGGCUCUGUGAUAUGGCUUCAAAGGAUAGUAGGGAAAUGGUGUUGGUAUUGGUGGUGGUGGUGUAAGGCCUCUGAGUGGCUGUGAUGGUGUUGGAAGGUGUAUUUUUUUGUGUGUGUGUGUUUUUGUUUGUGUGUGUGUGUGUAUGUGUGUGUGUGUGUGUGUGUGUGUGUGUGUGUGUGUGUGUGUGUGUUACUGUCGAUCUUUCUUUCCUAUUACUACUACUACUACUACUACUACUACUACUAUCAUCUUUUCAGUCGUCAAGGAAGGCUAUUUAGAUAUUCUCUUUCUACCUGAAGCAUAAAUCAUCCCACUAAUUAGCUCACCUGCCCUCAUCUGCUACGUUUUUGGGGCUGAGGAAUGAGAUAAUGAGAGGAUAAUGAGAGUGAGGUAAAAUAUAUAUACUAAGAUGGAGUGUAAUAAAAAAAGAUCGUUAGGGGAAAUUAAUGUUAAACUGUGGAAUAAAGAAAAACAUGGAGAAAGGUAAAAUUUUGGAAUCGUAGGAAUAGAAAGUAAUUAGAAUGAUGAAAACUGAAUGAAUAUGAAAAGGAGAGAAGGAAAAUAGAAAGGAGAAAGGGAAAUUGAAAAGGAUAGAGGUGAAGUUUAGGACUAGGAGUAAUAAGAUGAUAAAAAUAAUGAAAAUGAAAAGGAGAGAGGGAAAAUGAAAAGGAGAAAGGGAAAUUGAAAAGGAUAGAUGUGAAAUUUAGGACAAGGAGUAAUAAGUUGAUAAAAAUAUUGAAAAUGAAAAGGAGAGAGGGAAAACGAAAAGGAGAAAGGGAAAUUGAAAAGGAUAGAGGUGAAAUUUAGUACAAGAAGUAAUAAGUUGGUAAAAAUAAUGAAAAUGAAUGAAAAUGAGAAAAUGAGCAUAUUGAGAUUGAGAUAAAGAAUAAAUAUAGUAAGAUGGAGUAUAUAAUAAAAAAGAACGUGGAGAGAAAUUAAUGCUAAACUGUCGAAUAUAAAAGAAAAAAAAAUAGGAGAGGUAAAACGUUGGAGUCGUAGGAAGGAAAUUUGAUAGGGAGGAGGAAGAAAAGAAUGAAGAGAAAUCUGAAAAUAAAAGGUAGGGAAAUAGUCUGAAUUUACUAGGGCGGGAAAAUAUAUUAAAAAAAAACAAUAGGACGAGGAGAGAAAAU